UCCCUAGUGGCUCAAAUGGUAAAGCGUCUGCCUGCAAUGCAGGAGACCCAGGUUUGAUCCCUGGAUUGGGAA
rfam:TPA: Bos taurus chromosome 2, whole genome shotgun sequence.